rnacentral:rRNA from 1 species
UACAGAGGUCCCAAGCGUUGUUCGGAUUCAUUGGGCGUAAAGGGUGCGUAGGCGGCGCGGUAAGUCGGGUGUGAAAUCUCGGGGCUUAACUCCGAAACUGCAUUCGAUACUGCCGUGCUUGAGGACUGGAGAGGAGACUGGAAUUUACGGUGUAGCGGUGAAAUGCGUAGAUAUCGUAAGGAAGACCAGUGGCGAAGGCGGGUCUCUGGACAGUUCCUGACACUGAGGCACGAAAGCUAGGGGAGCAAACAGG